GGAGCCAUGCCUGAAGUAAAGGGCCCUUUGAAAGAGUGAACCAUGGAGGUUAGAAUCCUCCUGACUCCU
rnacentral:tRNA from 1 species